rnacentral:rRNA from 1 species
AGAGUUUGAUCCUGGCUCAGAACGAACGCUGGCGACGUGGAUAAGACAUGCAAGUCGAACGAGAGAAUUGCUAGCUUGCUAAUAAUUCUCUAGUGGCGCACGGGUGAGUAACACGUGAGUAACCUGCCCCCGAGAGCGGGAUAGCCCUGGGAAACUGGGAUUAAUACCGCAUAGUAUCGAAAGAUUAAAGCAGCAAUGCGCUUGGGGAUGGGCUCGCGGCCUAUUAGUUAGUUGGUGAGGUAACGGCUCACCAAGGCGAUGACGGGUAGCCGGUCUGAGAGGAUGUCCGGCCACACUGGAACUGAGACACGGUCCAGACACCUACGGGUGGCAGCAGUCGAGAAUCAUUCACAAUGGGGGAAACCCUGAUGGUGCGACGCCGCGUGGGGGAAUGAAGGUCUUCGGAUUGUAAACCCUUGUCAUGUGGGAGCAAAUUAAAAAGAUAGUACCACAAGAGGAAGAGACGGCUAACUCUGUGCCAGCAGCCGCGGUAAUACAGAGGUCUCAAGCGUUGUUCGGAAUCACUGGGCGUAGAGCGUGCGUAGGCUGUUUCGUAAGUCGUGUGUGAAAGGCGCGGGCUCAACCCGCGGACGGCACAUGAUACUGCGAGACUAGAGUAAUGGAGGGGGAACCGGAAUUCUCGGUGUAGCAGUGAAAUGCGUAGAUAUCGAGAGGAACACUCGUGGCGAAGGCGGGUUCCUGGACAUUAACUGACGCUGAGGCACGAAGGCCAGGGGAGCGAAAGGGAUUAGAUACCCCUGUAGUCCUGGCAGUAAACGGUGCACGCUUGGUGUGCGGGGAAUCGACCCCCUGCGUGCCGGAGCUAACGCGUUAAGCGUGCCGCCUGGGGAGUACAGUCGCAAGAUUAAAACUCAAAGAAAUUGACGGGGACCCGCACAAGCGGUGGAGUAUGUGGCUUAAUUCGAUGCAACGCGAAGAACCUUACCUGGGCUUGACAUGUAAUGAACAACAUGUGAAAGCAUGCGACUCUUCGGAGGCGUUACACAGGUGCUGCAUGGCCGUCGUCAGCUCGUGUCGUGAGAUGUUUGGUUAAGUCCAGCAACGAGCGCAACCCCUGUUGCCAGUUACCAGCACGUGAAGGUGGGGACUCUGGCGAGACUGCCCAGAUCAACUGGGAGGAAGGUGGGGACGACGUCAGGUCAGUAUGGCCCUUAUGCCCAGGGCUGCACACGUACUACAAUGCCCAGUACAGAGGGGGCCGAAGCCGCGAGGCGGAGGAAAUCCUGAAAACUGGGCCCAGUUCGGACUGUAGGCUGCAACCCGCCUACACGAAGCCGGAAUCGCUAGUAAUGGCGCAUCAGCUACGGCGCCGUGAAUACGUUCCCGGGUCUUGCACACACCGCCCGUCA